AGUGAAAUAGCUGAGUCAUAUGGUAGUUCCAGUCCUAGUUUUUUGAGGAAUCUCCAUACUGCUUUCCAAAGUAGCUGUACUAAUUUGCAGUCCCACCAACAAU
rnacentral:pre_miRNA from 1 species